CAUGCAAGUCGAGCGAACAGACGAGGAGCUUGCUCCUCUGACGUUAGCGGCGGACGGGUGAGUAACACGUGGGUAACCUACCUAUAAGACUGGAAUAACUCCGGGAAACCGGGGCUAAUGCCGGAUAAUAUGCGGAACCGCAUGGUUCCGCAAUGAAAGACGGUUUUGCUGUCACUUAUAGAUGGACCCGCGCCGUAUUAGCUAGUUGGUAAGGUAACGGCUUACCAAGGCAACGAUACGUAGCCGACCUGAGAGGGUGAUCGGCCACACUGGAACUGAGACACGGUCCAGACUCCUACGGGAGGCAGCAGUAGGGAAUCUUCCGCAAUGGGCGAAAGCCUGACGGAGCAACGCCGCGUGAGUGAUGAAGGUCUUCGGAUCGUAAAACUCUGUUAUUAGGGAAGAACAAGUGCGUAGGUAACUAUGCGCACCUUGACGGUACCUAAUCAGAAAGCCACGGCUAA
rnacentral:rRNA from 1 species